rnacentral:rRNA from 1 species
AGGACGAACGCUGGCGGCGUGCUUAACACAUGCAAGUCGAGCGACAGCAUCCUUCGGGGUGUAUGGAGCGGCGAACGGGUGAGUAACACGUGGGCAACCUGCCCUCAGCUCUGGGAUAACGUCCGGGAAACCGGGCUAAUACCGGAUACGACUGCUCCUGGCAUCUGGGGCAGUGGAAAGUUUUUCGGCUGGAGGAUGGGCCCGCGGCCUAUCAGCUUGGUUGGUGGGUCACGGCCCACCAAGGCGACGACGGGUAGCCGGCCUGAGAGGGCGACCGGCCACGACGUGGGACUGGAGACACGGCCCAGACUCCGUACGGGAGCAGCGAGGUGGGGAAUAGUUCGACGACAAGUGGGACGAAACGCC